rnacentral:lncRNA from 1 species
CGGCCGCCAUAAGCAGAGGCUGGGGAGCGUGGCCCCGAGUGCUCACCUGGGGUCGAGGAGUACCGAGGGGCUUAGGCCGGGCUCCGGGUCAUUCGUUCGUCCUCUCAUUCAUUCAUUCCUUGAGCCGACUCUGGAAUUGAGAUGGGUUCGGUGGAUCCUAGAAGGAUUGUGCAGAUGCAGGAGUUGACCAAGUGGAAUUGCUGUAAACGUUGGCCAGCAAGAAGCAGCGUCACUUGUAGAAUCUUGGGCCUUUCUCCUGACCCCUGCAGGGAUUCGGAGACCGAGGUGUGCUGGGAUUGUAUUUGGAGUUAAGACGCAGAACCGAAGCCAACAGGCAGAAACAAACAAGUCAACAACCAAAACAAAGAGGAGGCGAGGGCGUUGGGCCAGCGGCAAGGAUCCCAGCUGCAAAAGGCAUGCAGCAAAAAGGCUGAAGACAUUCGGGCUGUCGGGGAGGGCGCUUAGAGGUGGCGGGGUUCUUGGCCAUCUGAGCAGAAGGAUCUGAUGCGCAGAAGGACUGGACCCCAGGAGGAAGGCACGUGAGCCCAGCCUCUCCCAUCUUUGGAGGGGGGAUGAGCAGCACGCUCCCUCAUGGAUGGGGAGGCUUCUGGAACAGUCUGGGUAACUGUCCUCGGGGAGGUGGCAGGGAAACACAUCACAUGGCUGAGCCCGGGGCUGACCCUGGCAGGACCAGGCAAGGGGUAGGAAUGGGCACAGUGUCUGGCCAGCAGCCUGUGAGGGGCCUGGCCCUGGUCACCAGUGAAGCACAUGUGUGUGCAGCCUGGUUGGUCAAGAGGAGCGAGGAAGAAAGACAGGAAGCAGUGCAAGAUGGGGCAGCCGAGUGACCAAACUCUGUGAAAGAAGCUGCAAAUCCAGCUUGUUUGUGUUCGUGGAGUAAGAGACCCCCUAGCUUGAAACCUGGGUCUUUUUUCUUUUUGGUAAAUAACUUCACGGUAAUUGUGAAAAUCAGAAAAUUCAAAUAGUAACAAUACAGAAGACAGAGACAGCUUAAAACACCCCCAAAUGUUGUAUUCUGUAGAGAUGAAUCACGGUGAUAAACUGUGGACUCUUCCUCUUCCUCUUCCUCUCUUCCUUCCUCCUCCUCCAUCUCCUCGCGCGCUCGUGUGUGUGAGAUAUAAAUAUAAAUAUGUGUCACAAGUAUCUGUUUAAUAUUCUGCCGGCUGUCAUGCCUUCCCUCCUUAGUGGUGAAGACGUGUCUUCCUGUAUCUAAAUCGUUGUCGCCGAUGGCUGAGUGGGGUUCCACAGCGUGAGCGCGUUCGGUCUCAUUGCCUAGAAGUUGUCGUGAUGCCACUUGCGGCGUUUUCAUUGGGGGGGUUAUAUUUCCUGAGCUGCACCUCUAAUAAUCAGCCCCUAAAGUUUGCUGGGAAGGAAUGAGGAAUGCUUCUAGAAUCAUGGACUCUCAGAGGGGGAAGAGAAUUUGGUUGUGGUCUUGGAAAACUUCCAUCUCUUUCUCUCUCUCUUUUUUUUUUUUGCUGCCAUUUAUAGCCACCUCACCCCUUGGGUGGUCCAGCCUCUAUUUGACAGUGACUGGGAAUUCGCUAUGUCAGAAAGCCACCGGUGAGCUUAUUAAAUCCCCACCAGAAAAUACUUUUUUUCCUGAAAUGAUCUAACGUCUGCUUUAGAACACGGGGGUCUGGAGCCAGAUCAACUGAAUCCGGGGUCCUGGCUCCUCCUCCCACUGGGUCUCUGACCUCGGGCAAAAGGCUUAACCUCUCUGACCCUCAGUCUCCUCUUCUGUAAGACAGGUAACGUAAAACAGGAGGUGCCUCCGAGGGCCGUGGGGAUAUUACACGGGACGGGGCACGUGGAGCUCCUGGUAAGCGCUUCGUACAGGUCACCGUGACCCAGCAAGGUCUGCACGUGACCGGGAUGUAGGACGCGCUUGGCCCGGCUCCUUGACAGACCUGUGGCAGUUUAAAGGUGCCACAGGUGUCGUACCUGCCCCCUCCCCCUGCCUGCGUCUUCUUUUCUCUUGGGAGAGAUUUUGUAGGGGAGCAGUUCCAGGCCCUUCAUCCUGUCCCGCUCUGUCUCUGGAACAUGCCCCAGGCCCACCCAUGCUGAGGGGCUUUAGCUCUUCCCGGCUUCCCUCCCCGCCCCCUCUGCACUUCCCCAGACAAAACCUCCCUGGGGGACGGGGUACCCAGUGGGUUCUUGAGUGCACAGGGCUCUGCCCUUCCCAGAGCCCCUCCUCCGUUCCAGCCUCAGGGGACGGGGUGGAGGGAUGUUUUGAAAGGAGCAGAUGGGAACCAGGAACUGUUUUGAGAUUUAAUGUCUCUUGCUUCCUGUGUCCUUAAGGGCAGGUAUUGAUGGAAUUAUCAGUACAGAAACCUUCUGAAUGUGGAGAUAACAGCCCGAACCCUCGAGGUCAGGGCCCUCACCGUGUCCUUUUUUGUUUCCCUCUGUUGCGGAACGUGCCAUUAGCAGUCCUCGCGUAAACACGCACUCACUGAGCAGGUGACAGCUACCCCGCGACGUGUCUUGAAUGCACUGUCAUUCUUCCAACCACCCCGUGAAGGAAGUCAUUCCACCGUCCACAUUUUAACAGUGGAGGAAUCUGGAAUCAGGGAGAUGAAGUAGAAUAUCCAAAGUCACACAGCUGUUAGGUUGUGGGAUUUUUAGCAGGUCAAUAGAUAGCAAUAUUUUUUUGCUCUCAAAAAUUCAGAACUCACUGAUAGACCCAGGAGUUAAGCAGAUAGACGGAAGGAUCACCGUUAGUUCUGUAAAGCUGGUUGGGGAACGUGGUUAUGGAUUUACGGUCAGCACCGACCUUCUGGUCCUCAUGACCAAAGACGUUGAGAGAGAUGCCUCAAGGGAGAAGGGCAGAGACUGAAGAGCCCUUGGCUGCCCCACCUUGAUCUGGGGAGAAGGAAGGAAGAGGUGGACGCCCAGAGCUUGCUUCCGGGAGGACCUUGGCUUUCCCCAGUUGGCAAGCAGGGGCCAGCGAGACCUGGCCGUCUGAGUCACCCCUCUGGGCCGAGCGAGAGGCUGGGCCCCCCUCCAGUGCAACUCCUUCGCCAGGGAGACAGGGCCCUCACUGACUCUCCAUCCGGAUCUGAACCCCGACCCGGCUGACUUCAGGGUGCCAGUACCUUAACAAGCUUCCCUGCCUCUCAGUGGUUUGCUUCAUGAACAGCUUUGAUUUCCUCUUCAGAAUAUCUUAAGAGAAAAAAAUCUUCUGUGGAGACUUGCCAUGCAUCAGUAUUUUAAGAAAAAUUAAACACACAGUAGAGUUUCAGUUGGCAGAACUCCUGUUCUUGACGCAAUGGAGAACUCUGCCUGUGCCGGAGACCCAAACUGUCGCGACAACUCAUGUGACGGGUGCUGUUUGCUAAAACCCAUCCAGUGACCGAGAAGGCUGAUGGAUUGCCCAGGUCUUCCCACCCUGACUGGGCAUCUCCAGCCCCAUGUCUUUCUUCCGUUAGAUCAGAGAAAAUGGUGUCUCGCCUCUAAUUAAAUUCUCAUCUUUGCCCAACUGUUUGAAAGGGCAACUGCCUUAAACCUUUGAACUUUAUUUGUAAUACAAAACUUCAAUUAGAUAAAGGACAAUAAUUAGCAGAUCUUUUAUCUUUGGGCAUAAUUAAAUCUUUAAGAAGGGACGUUUUAAUCAAUGAAUUGUAAUGACAAGUUCAUAAAUUAAUUAAUUCCACCAAUGGUGGCUUGGCAGUAAUCAAUGGAUCUUUAAAGAGGUCCAGGGUGAGGAGACACGGCUGUGGGAGGGGGCACGGAGGCUCACUCAGUUCAGUUUGGUGUAAAGAUUCUAAUUUAUUAAGGAUUAGCUGGUUCAAAAGAUUACCUAUUUAUUUAAGGGCAAAAUCAUCUAAAACAUUAACUUUUAAUGGGAGGGCAAACCUUCUUCUUGCAAGUUUUUGCUUCUGAGUUGAGAACCUCAGACCACCGCGGCCUCGGCCGAUGUACCUUUCUUUAUACCCUUGUCCUGCAGCUGUUUGCCAGGAGACACCUGACCUGAGGGGUAGCUUGAAUUAGAGGAAUCCCAACCAAGGUCGACUACCUUUAGAUGUUUAAAGGUUCUUCUUCCAAAUCAGGAAUUAGCAGAUUCUGGGCCCCUUGCCAAAUCUGGCCCCCUGCAUGUUUUUGUAAAUAAAGUUUUAUCGGAACACACCCCUACCCAUUUGUUUCUGUAUUGUCCAUGAACGUUUCACACUACGAAGGCAAGAGUAGAGUAGUUACUACAGGGACUCUCUGAUCUCAAAGCUGAACGUGUGUUCUGACUCUUCAUUUUUACAGAAAAGGUUUAUUAGCCUCUGUUUUAAAACAUUGUAUUCUUACUGAACUUGAGAGUUUUGGUAAAAUAUAAACUCAAUACAACACUACAUAGAUGUGAUUAUUGUAAGAAUGUAAAUUAAAUAUUUCAAAUAUG